rnacentral:rRNA from 1 species
CCUACGGGUGGCAGCAGUGGGGAAUAUUGCACAAUGGGGGAAACCCUGAUGCAGCGACGCCGCGUGAAGGAAGAAGUUUUUCGGUAUGUAAACUUCUAUCAGCAGGGAAGAAAAUUACGGUACCUGACUAAGACGCCCCGGCUAACUACGUGCCAGCAGCCGCGGUAAUACGUCGGGGGCAAGCGUUAUCCGGAUUUACUGGGGGUAACGGGAGCGUAGGCGGCGAUGCAAGUCAGAAGUGAAAGCCCGGGGCUCAACUCCGGGACUGCUUUUGAAACUGUGUUGCUAGAUUGCAGGAGAGGUAAGUGGAAUUCCCAGUGUAGCGGUGAAAUGCGUAGAUAUUAGGAAGAACACCAGUGGCGAAGGCGGCUUUCUGGACUGAAACUGACGCUGAGGCACGAAAGCGUGGGGAGCGAACAGGAUUAGAUACCCUUGUAGUC